rnacentral:misc_RNA from 1 species
UUUCCGUAGGUGAACCUGCGGAAGGAUCAUUAUUGAAUGAAACACUUCUGGCUUUAUGCUGUUGUGCUGGCCCUUUGGGCAAUGUGCACACGGCUCUGGUCACUUGUUUCUUCUGUUCCACCUGUGCACUGCCUGUAGACGCGCUGUGUCUAUGAUAUUUGUUAACACACAACAAUGUUAGUUGGCAUGUUAUAUAUAAUAAUAAAAUAUACAACUUUCAACAACGGAUCUCUUGGCUCUC